rnacentral:rRNA from 1 species
AGAUUUGUAAAUGGGCGCAGCCAUGAGCGCCCUACCGCGUUGCGUGAAGAAGGUCCUAUGGUUUGUAAACUGUUUUUGUACGGAAAGAAACACUCCGACUUGUCGGCGCUUGGCGGUACCGUAAGAAUAAGGAUCGGCUAACUCCGUGCCAGCCCCCGCGGUAAUAUAAUA